ACUAACAAGGAUUCCCCUAGUAACUGCGAGUGAAGCGGGAAAAGCUCAAAUUUAAAAUCUGGCGGUCUUUGGCCGUCCGAGUUGUAGUCUGGAGAAGUGCUUUCCGCGCUGGACCGUGUAUAAGUCUCUUGGAACAGAGCGUCAUAGAGGGUGAGAAUCCCGUCUUUGACACGGACUACCAGUGCUUUGUGAUGCGCUCUCAAAGAGUCGAGUUGUUUGGGAAUGCAGCUCAAAAUGGGUGGUGAAUUCCAUCUAAAGCUAAAUAUUGGCGAGAGACCGAUAGCGAACAAGUACCGUGAGGGAAAGAUGAAAAGCACUUUGGAAAGAGAGUUAAACAGUACGUGAAAUUGCUGAAAGGGAAACGCUUGAAGUCAGUCGCGUUGUCCGGAACUCAGCCUUGCUUUUGCUUGGUGCACUUUCCGGAUGACGGGUCAGCAUCGAUUUUGACCGUCGGAAAAGGGCUGGAGUAAUGUGGCACCUCCGGGUGUGUUAUAGACUCUGGUCGCAUACGACGGUUGGGAUCGAGGAACGCAGCGCGCCGCAAGGCAGGGGUUCGCCCACUUUCGCGCUUAGGAUGCUGGCAUAAUGGCUUUAAACGACCCGUCUUGAAACACGGACCAAGGAGUCUAACAUACCUGCGAGUGUUUGGGUGGAAAACCCGAGCGCGUAAUGAAAGUGAAAGUUGAGAUCCCUGUCGUGGGGAGCACCGACGCCCGGACCUGACGUUCUCUGACGGAUCCGCGGUAGAGCAUGUAUGUUGGGACCCGAAAGAUGGUGAACUAUGCCUGAAUAGGGUGAAGCCAGAGGAAACUCUGGUGGAGGCUCGUAGCGAUUCUGACGUGCAAAUCGAUCGUCAAAUUUGGGUAUAGGGGCGAAAGACUAAUCGAACCA
rnacentral:rRNA from 1 species